rnacentral:sRNA from 1 species
GCUGGGCAUGAUGGUACAUGCCUGUAAUCUCAGCAACUCAGGAGACUGAGGCAAGAGGAUCACAAGUUCCAGGCUGCCCAAGCAUCCUAGUGAGACCCUGUCUCAA